rnacentral:tRNA from 1 species
GUUGGUAGACCAGGGGACUGAAAAUCCUCGUG